AUGAUAUAAUACAUAUUAUUGAUAGGGUGCACGAAAUAUCCUUUUUAUUAACGCUUGUCUACUCUCAUCUCAUCUGAUACAAUUAUCAAACAGAAUGAAAAAUAAAGCAGAGGCAUAAAGAAGGGAAAUUGGGCUGUAUAACCACCAAAAAAAUUAUAAUUCAAUCUAUAACUAAAAACCCUAUUUUUUCACUGUAUCAUGUGUCUUUUAUAUAAUAUUGCCGUAUUGCCUUCUGUUGUAACCGGUAAAACCUGCAGAAAAAAAAAUUAAUAAUCAUUAUAUUUUAAAAAUAAUUUGUGUCCAGUAGAAAGUCACACAUCCACACAUAAUUUUUUCUUCUUCUUCCCUGUUUCUUCGUGUUCCUCUCUCUCUCUCUCUCUCUCUCAAAUUUCUAUUUUUUUAUACGACGAACACAUAAAUCUCUGUCACAUAGCUUCAAUCAUCUCUACAUGUACAACCAGCACAACCAUCAUCAUCAUCGUUUGUUUCAUCGCCGCCACCGUAUUUGCUCCGUCAUCAUCUCCAUAAUUUUUACCUUUCUUCUUUUUCGAGAAAUUAAAUCGUUUGAUUCUCAGAUUUGGGAGAGAGCAAUGAGACGGACACGAUUAUCAGAGUUGAUUUUUGCAAGAGUAUAACAUCUUUGCAUUCUCGGUGGGUGGCUGAAGGGGAGGUUUCUCUGAUUGUGAAAUCGAUGGUGUCUUGUUUGACGGAAGAGGAGACACGGCAACAUGAAGUAACAACGGCCAGUUCUUCUUCCCAGAUUUGUCUUGUUGUUUUCUACCUUUUUGUUACUAUACUAUUUUAUUAUGUUCUAUUCCAUUUGACGAUUAAUAAAGAGUGUUCUAUUUUGUUUAAAAAUAUAUUUUGUAAUUUUCUUAAUAUCUAACUAUCAUUACAUGUUUUGAAUCUGUAAAAACCGUACUAUGAUUUAUAUUGUAUAGUUUAAUAUUAUAUAAUAUGAUUUAAUAUUGCAUAAUAUUGCAUACAUUUUUAUAUUUUGAUAUUUGCGUUUAGGGUUUAGUGAUUAUAGUUUAGGGUUUACUAAUUAGAAGGUGAGGGGUUAUGGUUGGAGUCAUUAUUAACUUCUUUCAUGCAAUCAUAGAUAUUUCAUAAUUUCACCAGUAUGUACUAUUCUAUUUAUUUUGUUCCAUUCUAUUUGGGUUUAGGGUUUAUAUUUGGAUUUAUGGUUUAUAUUUGGGUUUAGGUUCGCUGAUUAGAGUUUAGGGUUUAGUAUUUUAGGGGAUGGGGUAGGGUUGGGAUAAAGUUUAGGGUUCACUGAUUAGAGUUGAGGAUUUAGUAUUGGAACUACAUUUUCUCUAUUUCUAUUCUAUAUGACUCAUGUAGAAUGGUAAUGUAUUUUACUGGCAUUUUAAAAUUUGAGUUUAGUUUAUGGAAAAUUAGGGUUAAACACUGGUUAAGGUUUAGAUUUUGAUAUUUGGGUUCAUAGUUGUUCCAUUCUAUUUGGGUUUAGGGUUUAUAUUUGGAUUUAUGGUUUAUAUUUGGGUUUAGGUUCGCUGAUUAGUGUUUAGGGUUUAGUAUUUUAGGGGAUGGGGUGGGGUUGGGAUAAAGUUUAAGGUUCACUGAUUAGAGUUGAGGAUUUAGUAUUGGAACUACAUUUUCUCUAUUUCUAUUCUAUAUGACUCAUGUAGAAUGGUAAUGUAUUUUACUGGCAUUUUAAAAUUUGAGUUUAGUUUAUGGAAAAUUGGGGUUAAACACUGGUUAAGGUUUAGAUUUUGAUAUUUGGGUUAACGUUUAGUGAUUAGAGUAUAGGGUUUAGGGUUUAUUAUUUAGAAGGUGAGGAGGUAUGGUUGGGAUCAAUAUUAACAUCUUCCAUAAAAUCAUAGACAUUUCAUAUUUUCACCAAUAUGUACUAUGUUGUUUAUUUUGUUUCAUUCUAUUUGGGUUUAGGGUUUAUGUUUUAGUUUAGGUUUUAUAUUUACGUAAGGGUUUAGCAUUUAGAAGGUGACGGGGUAUGUUUGAGGUUAACAUUAAUUUCUUCAAUGCAAUUAUAGACAUUUCAUAAUUUCUUCAAUAUAUAUUAUGUUAUUUAGUUUUUUCUAUUUUAUUUGGAUUUUGGUUUAAAAUUUAGAUUUAUUAUUUAUAUUUGGGUUUAGGAUUUAUUGAUUAGAGUUUAUGAUUUAGUAUUUAGGGGUUAAGGUGUGAUUAGAAUAAGGUUUAGUAUCUAGGGUUUGGGGUUGGGAUAUGUUUAGUAUUACAGAUUGUAGAUUAUGUUAUAUAAUCUAUACUAUUUCGGUUAUAUGGAAUAGAGCAUUCGGUGUAUGUGUAUGUGACUAAUAAAAGUGUAACGUGGAUGAUUCCUUUUUUCUAAUGAAAUAAGACUACGUGGACACACAUAACACAUUAUUACCGGAUAAUGGCAAAGAGGAAGGGUAUAACCGGAUGAAUUAGGGUGUAAAUGUUAGUUUCUAUAUUAUGUCAAAAUCAAUGUCACUCACUUAAUUUCUCUUCUAAAUAUGGCUAGUUGGCAAAUAAGCCCCAUAAAGAAGAGGCACGAGAUUUAAAACAAAAAAAAAUUGAUGGGUUCAAGAAAAAUGGUUUAUAACAUUUUUUUAGUAGCUUGAGUUUGUGUGAUCUUGGUAAAGUUACAAUCGCUUUUUGAAGGACUGAGAAAUUUGAUCGUCGGUGUCAGAAAAAAUGAAAACGAUGAUAAACAGUUACCAUUUAGUGUACUAUUCUAUUUUAUUGUGAAAAAUAGAAUAUAAUUUUUUUUCACAGUAAGUAAUUAUAAGUUAUGUAUUAUUCUAUUUUAUUACGAAAACAUAGAAUAAAUAUAUGAUUUCACACUAAUAGAAUAUGUGUUACUUUUUCUUCUUCUCCUUCCUUUAUUCUUUUUCAUCUAAUUUGAGACUUUUUUAUCCGUUAAAAACAAUAAAUUUCCGGUAAAAAAUAGAUAAACAUUUUUGUACCAAUUCUUGCAUACACUAUAGUAUACUAUUCUAUUUUAUGAUGAUAUUAUAGAAUGUUAAAACCUCCUCCUCAUCUUCUCCUCCCUCUCCUCCUUUGCUGCGAACAACGACCUCCUCUGCUCUUAUCUUAUUGCCGAGAACAUUAGCGGAGGAACGACUUCUCGCGAGUUCUAGGAGAAUGAAGCCGAGAUUGACGGAGGAGGUUGAGAUGAUCGAUAUCUCCCGGUGGGAAUAGGCCAUAAAGGAAAGAGGGAGAGGGGAGGUGAGGACAUUCCUAAUCCUAGAGUGAGUACACACUACCUACGACUUCGACCUCGAACUUUGUUCUCUAAUUCUCAAUACUUAGCCCUUAAUUUUAGUUCUUGUAACCCAAUCUAUUUGCUCACUGUAUUUAAUAUACCUUUAUUAAUAUAUUAAAAGUCUAUUUAUUGUUGACUGGAA